CCUCUGCCAUGUGAGACACCUGCUCUCACUUAGCCUGCUGUCAUAAGCAAAAGCUUUCUGAGUCCUCACCAGAAGUGAGUAGACGCCAGUGGGAUGCUUCCUGUGCAGCCUGCAGAACUGAGAAUACGUGUGGAUCAUGGACUAGAAUAAUGACAAUGGGAAUGGGGAAAACUAGUUGGAUCAAAGAAAUAUUUUGGAGAAAACUACCUUGGACUACGAGGGUGUGGGGUGAGCCAGCCAUUACCCCCACCCUGAAGCCUGUCCCCCUUUUCUUCUCCAUGGACUACAAGGGGUCUUGAGGGCAUGCAGGUGAACACCCAGAUCACAAGUCCAAGCAGAUACCCACCUGCUGCAAACAGCUACCUAUUGGCCACCUUUUGGGCCUAGGGGUAUGCAUAUCUACAGCGACAUCCACUUUCAGAAGGACAGACACUUUGAAGAAACCUAUGUAGGCCCUGGAGGCAGGAUUUGGACCAUUUGGGCAAGAAAUCCAGGGUUCCAGAAAGGAAAAAGAAGAUCUGAUAGGGUUAAGUGACUUCUCCAGGGCUCCACAGUGGCAAGUGGCAAAGGCGGGGUUAGGAGACCAGACUUCUGACUUUACGGGGCUAUGCCUGUGUUUCAUGCUGCUUCCCCCUAGUCUGAUAUUGUAAAGGAGUCACCAAAUCUAUGUCUCCAGCUGAGAUGAGAAGAAAUUGGAUUUCCUGAGAAUCAUGAUAGCUGCCUCUUACUAAACCCUGGCUAUGCUCAGGCACCAUUCCAAGAACUUUAAGUAUAUGAUCUCUAACAAUAACAACCUGGCAAUGUAAGUAUUGUUAUUCUCUUCUUACAUAUGUGACAAUGACAAUUCAGAGUUGUUAGGUAACUAUUCCAAUUAUAAACUUCAAUAAAUGUCAAUAUGUGUGUGUGUGUACACAUAUAUGUAUACACAUACAUAUAUACACAUAUAUGCACACACAUACAUAUAUACAUAUAUGCACACACAUACAUAUAUACAUAUAUGCACACACAUACAUAUAUACACAUAUAUGUGCACACACAUACAUAUAUACACAUAUAUGUGUACACACAUACAUAUAUACACAUAUAUGUGUACACACAUGCAUAUAUACACACAUAUAUGUGUACACACAUGCAUAUAUACACACAUAUAUGUGUACACACAUGCAUAUAUACACACAUAUAUGUGUACACACAUGCAUAUAUACACACAUAUAUGUGUACACACAUGCACAUAUAUACACAUAUAUGUGUACACACAUGCCCAUAUAUACACAUAUAUGUGUACACACAUGCAUAUAUAUACACAUAUAUGUGUACACACAUGCAUAUAUAUACACAUAUAUGUGUGCACACAUGCAUAUAUAUACACAUAUAUGUGUGCACACAUACAUAUAUUUAUAUAUUCCUGCCUAUGUUCAUGUAAAAUUGUGACAAGAUUCCACCAAAUUGCCCUUCAAAAAGGAUUGCACAAAAUCGAUUGUGACUUUUCCC
rnacentral:lncRNA from 1 species